rnacentral:rRNA from 1 species
CGUGUAGGCGGUUAUGCAAGUCGGAUGUGAAAGCCCUCGGCUCAACCGGGGAAGUGCACUCGAAACUGCGUGACUAGAGUCUCGGAGAGGAUCGUGGAAUUCUCGGUGUAGAGGUGAAAUUCGUAGAUAUCGAGAGGAACACCGGUGGCGAAGGCGGCGAUCUGGACGAUGACUGACGCUGAGAGCGAAAGCGUGGGGAGCAAACA